ensembl:lncRNA
GGAGCUGGUCGUUUUUCAACGGCGCCAUCUCGGAUGCCUCAAAGGAAGUGAGCGAGGUCCGAGGACGAAAGGUCGUAAGGGUCAGGACUCGCCCCAUCGACCUCUGACCUCUGACCAGCGUCACUGGAGGAGCUUUAGUUCUUCUAAGAUGCUUUUCUGUAGUGCAACAGUUUUACAGGAUGCGAAUGAAACAAACGUCCCAAUAGAUUAUUGACCGUCUAAAUGUGUUUGUGUUUUCAGCAGUAGAGCAAAGUACAUUUAGAGGUACUUUUACCUGAGGUUUCAGGGCUCUACAAUAAUUUAAAUUAUGUUUAUUUAACAUCUACAUGAAGAAGAAUUCACCAGAUAUUCUACUUUGUGAGUACAUUGCACUAACUAACUCUCAGCCAAACCCAGAUGUUUUGAUCAUUUGAAAAAACAAAGAUCUGAAACUUGAAGAUUUUAAUUAGAAAAUAUAAAAUCUGAAACCAAAAAAUAUAUAUUAUUACCCCCCAAAAAAACUGAGUUAAAAACUAUAUUCUACCCAGAAAUACUUUUUAUUUUUAAUGCAUUGUUUUAUUUUCCAAUGUUGAACUUCACAUCUGUUCUUCAAAUGAUCAAAACUUUAAGCCUGGAUUUGGUUCCAUACAGAACUUUUCAACUGUGGCUUUUUCCUUUAAUUGAGAGUAAAGGGUGUGAAUACUUUUCUCACCACUAGUGGGCAGUAUAACCCAGUACAAACCAAGUAUAAACCAGUACAAACCCAGUAUAACCCAGUACAAACCAAGUAUAAACCAGUACAAACCCAGUAUAACCCAGUACAAACCAAGUAUAAACCAGUACAAACCAAGUAUAACCCAGUACAAACCCAGUAUAAACCAGUACAAACCCAGUAUAACCCAGUGUGUGUUGUGUGCGUGUCACUGCUCUCAUAUAGUUAUAAAUGACCAUAUUUGGUCAUGUAAUUUACUUUAUUGAUCAUCAGUCUGAUAAUUAACGUUGAUGCAGAAAAAACACCUUAUUGCAAUAAAAAAAUAAUAACUUAACUAAAGUAAAUGACUGAUGAAAGGUCCUGAAAAUGAUUGUUAAUAAAAGAAACAUUUCAUUCAGUGAAGUAAAGACGUUUAUAUUCACAGUGCAGCAGACAGACGGGUGACAGGCAGCACGAUGUCAUCGCUGACGUGUAACAUCUCAGCUGGAUGAAUGUUACACACUGUUGCUCCACAAUGACAUCAUCACUGUGGUGUGUGUGUGUGUGUGUGUGUGUGUGUGUCUAGCUAAAGUGACCCAGCCUCCUCAGCACCAGGCUGUGAUCGGUCUGCUGACUCUCACGUUCCUGUUGUUCUGGAGGUGAAUCGCUCUGCAACACACGCAAGACUUUACAACCAGGAAGUGAGACCAGCGCGUAAAGACCAACGUGAAGACGCAGGAACACGUCUCGGCCUCCAGUCGAGGUCUCUUCAGUGGGGAUGUGCUCACGGCUCAGGUACGAUGACCCCGUUGACCUCCUGCGGUUCCUCCUGUCGGCUCAAAGGACCCAGAGACCGAAUCAAAGAACACGUCUUUGGACGCACAAACACUCUCCUUCCACCAGUAGUCGCAGCAGGAUCUGUCCUCUGUCCUCGCAGGUCUGCAUGGUCCUGGUUCUGUGGACGUCCUCGGGGACCCUGCUGCUCAGUCGUUGGGGACGUGUUCCCGUUCCGGGGGAACCGACCGCAAAACCCUCAAAGGUCCGAUUGGGCUAAAAUGAAAUAAAAUGAAUUGAAAUAUUCUAAAGGAGCUUUGUCACAAUCCAAAGCGUGUACUAACGUGUACUACUAGCAUGUACUAACAUGUACUACUAGCGUGUACUAACGUGUACUAACGUGAUCAGAUUUGAAUUAUGCAGAAUUUCUGUCAACUCAAAUGAUCAUUUUCACAUUUUGUCACAGAAAGUGUUGGAAAGUAAGAACUUUUUGUUCAUGUGUCAAAUAAAAUAUUAUUUUUAACGAUGCUUGUUUCACUCUCCUGGUGGUGACGUCUCACAGGAGGACACGUGGGAGGACACAUACCUGUAGAUUAUUGUUAUAUCGGACGGACAGACGACAUCUCGUGAUGAAAGUUGUGCUAAAAAGAACAUGUGAGGAGAUCCAGUUGAUUACGUGACAUUAAAACGAUCACAGCUGCACUGUGGUAUCAUUUAUUGAUCACGGUGGUUCUACAAUAUUCUCAUCAUGUUAUUGAUUACGUAGCUCCAGAGUCAUGGCUGUAACCCGGUGACCCUGAAUGUUGAUUUGAGAGCCGGGUGUUUUAUUUCUAACGUCCGCUUCCUGUCAACGCUCGGCGGUGCGUUUGACUUGUCGUCGGGGGGCCGGUCGCUCGGGGCCCAGAGGCCUCUGGGACGCUGCGGGUGAGGAAUAUUACAGGAAGAGGGCGACGGGGGCGAGCUGCUGACGUCCAGCCGUGGUCACCCGCUUAGUCAGAGACAGGAAGUCCUGUUGGUUUUACUCACAGGGAACCCAAAGCAAACACAGCUGGGAUUGGUCAGGUCCCUCCCCCCCAGGCCUCUGCUCCACCAAUCACGUGGAGGCGGAAAAUGACGAGCAGAGCGCCGUCUGUCCGUCUGGCGCCCACAUUUAACCCCUUAAUGAGUCACGCCUUCAAAAUAAAGUACCGUUUCAAACCAAACAAAACAACGGCUUUAAAGGUCUUAUUCAUUUCAAUGUGCUUCAUGUCAACAUUACUUUGCCGUCCCAACUAAUAAUCAAUCGUCAAUAUUCAAUCAGUCAAGAUCACUCAUAAGGAAGAAUGCGUCAAAAUAAAGUUCCUUGUGGGCUUUUGUUUUAUGUUUCAGGGGAAGUUUCUUCUCUCAGAGCCAGAAUGUUUCUGUAUUAUUCCAUAAACACAGUGACCGUUUAUGACUGUGAGACGGAACCUUCACAGAAGCUUCUUUAUUCUUUCUUUCCAAAAUGAGUUUCAAAGGAUUUGAGGGUUUAUAAUUAUACAUGAACUAUUGUUUUCUACUCCAGCGUUUGCUUUAAUAUUCAGUGAUUUACAAGAUUUAGCUGACGGAUAUUUAAUCUACAGCGGCAACAAACGUUGUCAAAGAAAGAAGCCUGAAAUGAUGCGUUGAGGAUAUUGAAGUUUGAUGGACGUUAAGUAGUCCUUUUGUUUUGUAAUCCUUUAUUGUAUCCUAGCAACAUGGUAGUGAUGAAUAAAUAAUAAGACGUUUGUGUGUGUGUUUAUUGAAUAAAACUGUCGUUUUUUAAUUUAUUAAUCAGAUUGUGAACUUUGGCAAGGCAAGGCAAUUUUAUUUGUAUAGCACUUUUCAUACACAAGGCAGUGCUUCACAUCAUAACAUUUCAUACAAUAAAGUGAAAAAAAUGCAGGAAUUAAAAGACAAUUAAAAACAGCAAAUAAAAUUAUAAAUUAAAAUCUUAUUUAAACUUUGAUCUUUUUUUAAAGUGUCAAUCACUCCUCGUGGUUUUUCUCCCCGUGACCUCGUGACCUUUGAGGCUUCCAAAGCUUGAGUCAGAAUGUUCUUGUCAAAUGUAACUUCAGAAGAAAACAUUACAUUUUGUGUUCAUCUGAACCCUUUUUAAGUCUUCGUGUUCUUGACUUCAGGCCGAAGAACAAAAGCAGUGAAGGCGAUAAAUCUCCCUCUGUCCUCGGAUCAGUUCUGGUGGGAAAACAACAACACAAACAACGCCGAUGAAAACGACGGAUGAACACAAACAAUGCAACCGCGCCGACGGAUCAUGCGGAAGGGAACAUGUGACUUGGUUGUGGGCGGGGCCUCCGCGAGGGAAAGACAGACGUUCUGCACGUAGGCCCGUCGCCGGGGCGACGGACCACCAACCAGCACAAUUCCCGUCAGACGGUGACCCACAUCACACGGUCGCCAUGACGACCGGAGUCCGGCUGACUCCUCGGCUUCACGGUCAAAUGAAAUAUCCAACUGAAUAAACACGAGUCCCCCCAGACCGGGGGACACUGUGAGGACGCUGUGAGGACACUGUGAGGACACUGUGAGGACGCUGCACUGUAAAAAACACCCGACAGAAUCCACUCAAUAAUUGUGAGGUAACAAUUGGCACUGAGUAGAUUUCACUACAUUAAAGUUUAAAGUAAAGCGUAACUACGUUGUAGAACUAAGAUACACUGAAAUGAAAGAGGUAAAGUCUACGGAACACUUUAUACAACUGAUGACUCUACAUUGUAAGCAGUUAAUACCUAAUAAUUGUUAGUAGGACAAUGUCCCCUAUUAAUGGUGACUUAAUCAGGGACAGGAAGCUCGACUUGUGAAAAUAUGUCGUCAGGCUGCAGUUGUUACUCGCAGGUCAUGAAGGUGGAAGUUACCAAUUAUUACACCUCUGCUGACUGAUUUAAACAAUGUGUAAUAGGUAAUGUGUUUUUACAGUGUGAGGACACGGUGAGGUCAUGAGGACACUAUGAGGACACUGUGAGGUCAUGAGGACACUAUGAGGACACUAAGACACUUCAGCACAGCCUCAUGUCCUCCUGAUGUCUCAGCAUCUUUCGUUCUACUGGAUGACUGAAGACGAGGACGCCGCAACAAGAGAAUUUGUUGUGUCCAAAAAUGAAGAAACUCUGGACGGACAAAGGACAUGGAUUUGGAUUGAAAAGUUGACAUCCAAAGUUUAUAAUGAAGGAAAAUCCCAGCGUGUGACACUAUUCUCAUUAUCCUGCUUCACUGAGUGCAUUUUAUUACAGUAACUGGUCUAAUUUACCAACCGGGUCCUGCGUUUGUUUAGAAUAUACCACAGCCCCCCACAGC